GGGAAACACGAUCCUGGGAGAAGACUAAUUGCCAGACUGUCUGUGUUGGUAAUGGAGGAGUGGAACCUUUUUUGGUAGCAGCGAUCAUAAAAAUGCAAUUCAUCUUUUUUUUAGAGUAAUAAUUUCCUUUUCCCCUCAAAAGGAAUGCAAACAACAUAGGAAGCCACAAGGCCCUGGUCCUGCUAUUGGGAGGAAUGAGGCAAUGGACCAGGAGGGAUAGGAGAUUACGGCCUCCUUUGAAGCUCUGCCAAGCCCCAGGCCCGAAAGAGGAACCUCCGUGCCUCACUUUAACAUUUCAGAGAGACUUUAGAAGCUGUUUUGGCUCUUCUCAAGAUUCCAAGUAGGAGGAUGCCAGGUGAAGUACCUUUACAAAUGAGAUGGAGCAGUUACUGGAGAAAGGUCAAAUGGAAGCUUGGAAAGCAUAUCAGGGGGCAGUUUCAUUAAGGUUUCUCCACAUAAUCUACCCCCUCAAUCUACCUGUCACUGAAGAUGUGUCCACAUAACAGAGAUCCCAUCUUGCUAGAAGAAGCUGAAACCAGUCCAAGGUGAUCUAGCAGGAAAAAGCUUUUCCAUAAGAAAAGACCACAUCUUGUCUGGUAGAAGAACUAUGAAACUUUAUGGUUGGCAGAAUGACUACACAGCUCUCUUUCUUUUUUCUUUUUUUAUUUGGUCAGUGACCUUAGUGCAGCCAAAAUACAAUUUUCCACAAAGUUGAUAUGUCCAUUAGAAAGCAGAACAUGUGUGUGUGUGUGUGGAAAGUGAGGGAGUUGUGACUGGAAAUCUCAUUUCUUUUUCACCCAUCUCCAUUAGUCAAAGUUUUGGAGAAAAAGUUUAAAAAUUUAACUGUGAUAAGCAAGAGUGUGUAUUUGGAGCAGAACAUCUAGCACAACCUAGUUUCUUUUUAUUGUUCUUUAAGGGUAUUUGGAUUGAUUUAAGAUGAGAAAUGGAGUAUGACAUUGAAGGGCAAGGCAUUCACUGUACUCUCCAAAAUCCCUCAUCAUUAAAAUAGAACUGAUUUUUCCCCUGGGGAUUUUAUGGAGUUAAAUAAAUAUCUUAUGUAGUAAUUUUUGGAGAAAAAUAAAGGGCUGAAUGGUUUAAAAGCCUUAAUUUUAAAUCAUUCAGUCCUUUAUCAAUCCAAAAUUCCCAGACAUUUUUUCCCCCUGCACAUUCUAUUUCAACAAUACACAUUUCCUUAUUUGGCAACUGAGCAAUCCACUAAAUGUAGUUUGGCCUGUGAGGUACUGAAUUACACAAUGGAAAAUGAAGGUCAACUUACUCUGGUAUCAACCUUUCCUGAUUUUUUUUCCUCCCUCACUAGUAUUGGCUUAAAUCUGGCCACUGAUUCUUUUUUCUCCAUUAUCAUCAAGAGCAGGGUAGAAAAAUGGAGAUUUUUUUGAAUGCUAACUUAAAAGUU